GGGAGUUUGGCCGAGUGGUUAAGGCGCCGUGUUUAGGUACUGCUUUCGAAGCAAUACUGUAAACCCGCGGUGGGAAACCGCGCAGGUUCGAAUCCUGCAGCUCUCA
rnacentral:tRNA from 1 species